AUGACAACACCCACAACAACUCCUGUAGACCCAGCAACAACAACUACCAAAACUCCUGUAGAGCCAGCAACAACAACUACCACAACUCCUGUAGACCCAGCAACAGCUAAAACACUAAACGGAGCUCCGCCAACAGCUUUUACAAUAAUGACAAUUACCACAACUCCUGUAGACCCAGCAACAACAACUACAACAACUCCUGUAGACCCAGCAACAACAACUACCACAACUCCUGUAGACCAAGCAACAACAACUACCAAAACUUCUGUAGACCCAGCAACAACAACAACCACAACUCCUGUAGACCCAGCAACAGCUAAAACACUAAACGGAGUUCUGCCAACAGCUUUUAUAAUAACGGCAACUACCACAACUUCUUUAGACCCAACAACAACAACUACCAUAACUCCUGUAGACCCAGCAACAACAACUACCACAACUCCUGUAGACCCAGCAACAACAACUACCAAAACUCCUGUAGACCCAACAACAGCUAAAACACUAAACGGAGUUCUGCCAACAGCUUUUAUAAUGACAACAACUACAACAACUCCUGUAGACCCAGCAACAACAACUACCAAAACUCCUGUAGACCCAACAACAGCUAAAACACUAAACGGAGUUCUGCCAACAGCUUUUAUAAUGACAACACCCACAACAACUCCUGUAGACCCAGCAACAACAACUACCAAAACUCCUGUAGACCCAGCAACAGUUAAAACACUAAACGGAGUUCUGCCAACAGCUUUUAUAAUAAUGACUACUACCACAACUCCUUUAGACCCAACAACAACAACAACUGCCAUAACUCCUGUAGACCCAGCAACAACAACUACCACAACUCCUGUAGACCCAGCAACAGCUAAAACACUAAACGGAGUUCUGCCAACAGCUUUUAUAAUAACGACAACUACCACAACUCCUGUAGACCCAGCAACAACAACUACCACAACUCCUGUAGACCCAGCAACAACAACUACCAAAACUCCUGUAGACCCAGCAACAGCUAAAACACUAAACGGAGUUCUUCCAACAGCUUUUAUAAUGACAACAACUACCACAACUCCUGUAGACCCAGCAACAACAACAACUACCACAACUCCUGUAGACCCAGCAACAGCUAAAACACUAAACGGAGUUCUGCCAACAGCUUUUAUAAUAACGACAACUACCACAACUCCUGUAGACCCAGCAACAACAACUACCACAACUCCUGUAGACCCAGCAACAACAACUACCACAACUCCUGUAGACCCAGCAACAGCUAAAACACUCAACGGAGUUCUGCCAACAGCUUUUAUAAUGACAAAAACUACAACAACUCCUGUAGACCCAGCAACAGCUAAAACACUAAACGGAGUUCUGCCAACAGCUUUUAUAAUGACAACAACUACCACAACUCCUGUAGACCCAGCAACAACAACUACCACAACUCCUGUAGACCCAGCAACAACAACUACUACAACUCCUGUAGACCCAGCAACAGCUAAAACACUAAACGGAGUUCUGCCAACAGCUUUUAUAAUGACAACAACUACAACAACUCCUGUAGACCCAGCAACAACAACUACCACAACUCCUGUAGACCCAGCAACAGUUAAAACACUAAACGGAGUUCUGCCAACAUCUUUUAUAAUAACGACAACUACCACAACUUCUUUAGACCCAAAAACAACAACUGCCAUAACUCCUGUAGACCCAGCAACAGCUAAAACACUAAACGGAGUUCUGCCAACAGCUUUUAUAAUGACAACAACUACCACAACUCCUGUAGACCCAGCAACAACAACUACCACAACUCCUGUAGACCCAGCAACAACAACUACCAAAACUCCUGUAGACCCAGCAACAGCUAAAACACUAAACGGAGUUCUGCCAACAGCUUUUAUAAUGACAACAACUACAACAACUCCUGUAGACCCAGCAACAACAACUACCACAACUUUUUUAGACCCAACAACAACAACUACCACAACUUCUGUAGACCCAGCAACAGCUAAAACACUAAACGGAGUUCUGCCAACAGCUUUUAUAAUGACAACACCCACAACAACUCCUGUAGACCCAGCAACAACAACUACCAAAACUCCUGUAGACCCAGCAACAACAACUACCAAAACCCCUGUAGACCCAGCAACAGCUAAAACACUAAACGGAGUUCUGCCAACAGCUUUUAUAAUGACAACACCCACAACAACUCCUGUAGACCCAGCAACAACAACUACCAAAACUCCUGUAGAGCCAGCAACAACAACUACCACAACUCCUGUAGACCCAGCAACAGCUAAAACACUAAACGGAGUUCUGCCAACAGCUUUUAUAAUAACGUCAACUACCACAACUUCUUUAGACCCAACAACAACAACUACCACAACUCCUGUAGACCCAGCAACAGCUAAAACACUAAACGGAGCUCCGCCAACAGCUUUUACAAUAAUGACAAGUACCACAACUCCUGUAGACCCAGCAACAACAACUACAACAACUCCUGUAGACCCAGCAACAACAACUACCACAACUCCUGUAGACCAAGCAACAACAACUACCAAAACUUCUUUAGACCCAGCAACAACAACAACCACAACUCCUGUAGACCCAGCAACAGCUAAAACACUAAACGGAGUUCUGCCAACAGCUUUUAUAAUAACGGCAACUACCACAACUUCUUUAGACCCAACAACAAAAACUACCAUAACUCCUGUAGACCCAGCAACAACAACUACCACAACUCCUGUAGACCCAGCAACAACAACUACCAAAACUCCUGUAGACCCAACAACAGCUAAAACAGCAAACGGAGCUCCGCCAACAGCUUUUACAAUAACAACAACCACCACAACACCUGUAGACUCAGCAACAACAACUACCACAACUCCUGUAGACCCAGCAACAACAACUACCAAAACUCCUGUAAACCCAGCAACAACUAUUACUACAACAGCUGCAGACCCAGCAACAACAACUACCACAACUCCUGCAGACCCAAGUACAACAACUACAACUACCACAACACCUGCAGACCUAGCAACAUCUACCGCAACUACUGCAGACCCAGCAACAACAAUUACCACAACCCCUGUAGACUCAGGAACAACUACAACAACUGCUGCAGCUUCAACAACAAUCUAUGCUUCCACAACUUUGCCAGCAACCACUGUCUUUUCAGCGUCAGUCUCUUUAGGUUCUCCACCAUUUAUCCCAUCACCAACACCAUCCUUUGCUCAAACUACGACCAGUGACAGUUACUGUGUGAGUCUGGGAACAGUCCAGCUGCUACUUGGUCUUGUUGCUGUUAGCGUGUUUUAG
ensembl:lncRNA